GCCAGGUAUGUGGUGUGUGCCUGUAAUCCUGGCUACUCAGGAGACUGAGACAGGAGAAUUACAUGAUGCCAGGAGUUCAAGGUCAGCCUGGGCAACAUGUUAAGACCCUGUCUCAA
rnacentral:sRNA from 1 species